rnacentral:rRNA from 1 species
AAUGAACGCUGGCGGCAUGCCUUACACAUGCAAGUCGAACGGCAGCAUGACCUAGCUUGCUAGGUUGAUGGCGAGUGGCGAACGGGUGAGUAAUGCAUCGGAACGUGCCUUUUAGUGGGGGAUAACGUAGCGAAAGUUACGCUAAUACCGCAUAUUCUCUGAGGAGGAAAGCAGGGGACCUUCGGGCCUUGCGCUAGAAGAGCGGCCGAUGUCGGAUUAGCUAGUUGGUGAGGUAAAGGCUCACCAAGGCAACGAUCCGUAGCGGGUCUGAGAGGAUGAUCCGCCACACUGGGACUGAGACACGGCCCAGACUCCUACGGGAGGCAGCAGUGGGGAAUUUUGGACAAUGGGCGCAAGCCUGAUCCAGCCAUGCCGCGUGAGUGAAGAAGGCCUUCGGGUUGUAAAGCUCUUUCGGCUGGGAAGAAAUCGCACCCUCUAAUACAGGGUGUGGAUGACAGUACCAGCAUAAGAAGCACCGGCUAACUACGUG